AAUUCGCCCUUAGAGUUUGAUCCUGGCUCAGGAUGAACGCUAGCUACAGGCUUAACACAUGCAAGUCGAGGGGCAGCGGGAUUGAAGCUUGCUUCAAUUGCCGGCGACCGGCGCACGGGUGAGUAACGCGUAUCCAACCUUCCGUACACUCAGGGAUAGCCUUUCGAAAGAAAGAUUAAUACCUGAUAGUAUCUUAAGCACACAUGUAAUUAAGAUUAAAGAUUUAUCGGUGUACGAUGGGGAUGCGUUCCAUUAGGUAGUAGGCGGGGUAACGGCCCACCUAGCCAACGAUGGAUAGGGGUUCUGAGAGGAAGGUCCCCCACAUUGGAACUGAGACACGGUCCAAACUCCUACGGGAGGCAGCAGUGAGGAAUAUUGGUCAAUGGACGAGAGUCUGAACCAGCCAAGUAGCGUGAAGGAUGAAGGUCCUACGGAUUGUAAACUUCUUUUAUAAGGGAAUAAACCCUCCCACGUGUGGGAGCUUGUAUGUACCUUAUGAAUAAGCAUCGGCUAACUCCGUGCCAGCAGCCGCGGUAAUACGGAGGAUGCGAGCGUUAUCCGGAUUUAUUGGGUUUAAAGGGAGCGCAGACGGGUCGUUAAGUCAGCUGUGAAAGUUUGGGGCUCAACCUUAAAAUUGCAGUUGAUACUGGCGUCCUUGAGUGCGGUUGAGGUGUGCGGAAUUCGUGGUGUAGCGGUGAAAUGCUUAGAUAUCACGAAGAACUCCGAUUGCGAAGGCAGCUUGCUAAACUGUAACUGACGUUCAUGCUCGAAAGUGUGGGUAUCAAACAGGAUUAGAUACCCUGGUAGUCCACACGGUAAACGAUGGAUACUCGCUGUUGGCGAUAUACUGUCAGCGGCCAAGCGAAAGCAUUAAGUAUCCCACCUGGGGAGUACGCCGGCAACGGUGAAACUCAAAGGACAUUGACGGAAGGGCGA
rnacentral:rRNA from 1 species